rnacentral:rRNA from 1 species
GCAAGUCGAGGGGCAGCAAUUACUUCGGUAAGAUGGCGACCGGCGCACGGGUGCGUAACGCGUAUGAAACCUACCUUUUACUGGGAGAUAGCCCGGAGAAAUUUGGAUUAAUAUCCCAUGGUAUUAUAAAACUGCAUGGUUUAAUAAUUAAAGAUUUAUCGGUAAAAGAUGGUCAUGCGUGACAUUAGGUAGUUGGUAAGGUAACGGCUUACCAAGCCUGCGAUGUCUAGGGGUCCUGAGAGGGUGAUC